rnacentral:rRNA from 1 species
UAUAGUUUACACCGUAGUCACUCCAUUAUUUGGAUACCUGUGGUAAUUCUAGAGCUAAUACAUGCGUAAAAACCCGACUUCACGGAAGGGUUGUAUUUAUUAGAUACAGAACCAAUUCCUUCGGGAUUUUGGAUGAUUCAUGAUAAACGAACGGAGCGUAUUGGCGUGAGCCGACGCUGGACGGUUCAAGUUUCUGACCUAUCAGCUUUCGACGGUAGGGUAUUGGCCUACCGUGGCAUUGACGGGUAACGGAGAAUUAGGGUUCGAUUCCGGAGAGGGAGCCCGAGAAACGGCUACCACA